rnacentral:rRNA from 1 species
UACAGAGGGUGCGAGCGUUAAUCGGAAUUACUGGGCGUAAAGCGCGCGUAGGCGGCUUUGCAAGCCGGAUGUGAAAUCCCCGGGCUUAACCUGGGAACUGCAUUCGGGACUGCAUUGCUGGAGUAUGGGAGAGGGAAGUGGAAUUUCAGGUGUAGCGGUGAAAUGCGUAGAUAUCUGAAGGAACAUCAGUGGCGAAAGCGACUUCCUGGACCAAUACUGACGCUCAUGUGCGAAAGCGUGGGGAGCAAACAGG